UUAAAAGUAGUUUAUAUUAAAAUGCUUACUUUGGGGGUAAGCGAACAAGGAAAACCUUGCUUUUAAA
rnacentral:tRNA from 1 species